CUUUUGCUCUUUCCGGCCAGCUGUCCAGCCGACGUCCAUCACUGCGGGAUUUUUUUUCUGCUUCUCUCUCUCAUUUCCCCAGAUUUCCCUUUCUUUCUUUUCCCACCAUCUCUUCCUCCUCUGGAUCCGGGCCGAGAUAUGAAGCGGCACCAUGGGUUUUAUGGAAUUCUACCUGGAGAUUGACCCCGUCACCCUGAACCUCAUCAUCCUGGUCGCCAGCUAUGUUAUCCUGCUGCUCGUCUUCCUCAUCUCCUGCAUCUUGUACGACUGCCGUGGCAAAGACCCCACCAAGGAGUACGCCCCUGACAACACGCCAGCGCCACCCAGCCAGUCGCCCAUACGCCUGGUGGUCAUGCAGAACUCGCCCACCACCACCCGGUACGAGCCCAACAACAAAGCGGGCCACGCCGAGCUGCCGACGCCAGACCUGAGCCGGGAUAGAGGAGAGCGGGAGCGGGAGAAGAGGAGUACUCUGGUCUGAGAGGAAGAGGAAAGUUCAGACGGAUAAUCAUGAAGUGCUGCUGUUUCAUUCUCAGACUCUUGUUUUUUAAAUUGAACAUCCCGGAUGGCGCCGAGGAGUCAGCAGGAGGGUUUUGGCCUCACCUGCAAAUCGCAGAAUUCCCUCCAGUUCCCACCACUGACCUCCGCUCACCUACGGCGCCAUCAGCUCACCGUGGAUCUGUGGGAUUCUGGAGAUUUGGCCUCACGGAGAGCUGCAGAAACUUCAGACCUCACAGUGUGUGAACUUGAAGUCAUCAGCAGCAGAUUCUCCAUCUCACCUCAGUGCUGAUGUGACCCCAACCCGCCAGACUGACAAAGACUGUGAGGGUGGUGUCAGCACCUUCCCUGAAACCACAGAGUGUGGUAUCACUGGAAAACUGAAGAUAGCAGUGAUGGAGCAGGGCGCUGGCUGCGGUUCUUCAAUGGAUGCCAUCUUAUCCAGGAGGAACGCUCCUCGCUACCCUGCAGGAGUCUCACUGUUGAGUCUGACGACUGAACGUUUAAGGAAAACAACUACAGUGCACUGUAUUCAAUCCUUAAAUGCACACGUUAAUGAUCUAAGUAUGCUUCUUCAUUUUGAGUAAAUCAGAGCUUCAGAAGAGCCAAUCAGCUUGGUGUUCAUGACGACGUCCAGUUACGAUGACCCUGUUAGCGUUUCCCACGCCACUAACGAGAAAUCCAAACGUGUUUUUAAAAGCUGAGGCUGACACCCCUAUGUCCUACAGAGGUAACUAAGGUUACAGACAGCAUGUUUUCAAACCCCACCCCCUCCUUCCCUUUGCCUCGCUGUGGCAGGCAGCGUGUCCGUGGACAGGAAUCGCCAGGGGCUGAAUCUUAUACACCUGCCACACAUCGGGGCCAUAAUUGGGACAGGAGCCACUUUGAUUUAUUUCUUGUGCUUUGAGUCUGUGAUACUGAUGUGGAUGACAACACAAACACCAUCACAUCCAGUCAGAGGAUGAUACUGGUGCCCAGUUUGCAGCAGGGGGAACCUUUAAAGGUUGUGUUGCUAAUAACAAAAAGGCGUUCAUGGAAGCUCCUGAACAGGCAGCCAUAUUCUGUAAGCUGCAUUUACAGCGCUUAACAAACGUGUCACCACACCAACACAGUGUCACAGCUGUUGGUAAUGACCUGAACCAGCUUCUGUAACGUUAGCCCGGCUGUAUGUGCAAUCACGUCAGUCUAAAUAUGUUAAAUGUUACAAUAUAGUUUCUGUUUUUAUACAUUCAUUUUCAGAUUUACUGGUUUACAAAAAAUAAGAAAGAAAUUGGGGUUAAAAAAAAAGCAAAUUUAGUUUAUUUGCCAAAUAAACGAAAAUCAAACGUUAUUAUUAAACAAGUUUUGACAGAUGUUCUUGUUUUAUGAUCUCUGGUCUAACAGAUUUGUUAAGCUCUGUAGCUGCACAGCAACAAUAAACUCUGUCUUCUAUCAUCUGUGAAAACAGCUUUAAAUUUAAAUAUGAUUUUAUUUGAUGCCGUGUUGACAGUUUCCAACAUGACACCAGUGUCUGCCAUGUCUGCUGUUCCCGUCACGCCACUGAGAAUGUUGUAAACAUAGCUGGCGACUGCGUGUGACUAAGAACCUUUUUGAAUUAGCCCGUCUCCAUAGUAACAUCAAAGCAUCACUUUCUUAAAUCAUCAGACAUUUCUACGAGUACAUAAACAACCAUUUUAACCAGUGAGACUUCAAACAGCUGCUUGUUAUCAUUCAAUGCAAACUCUUUCUGUUGACUCUGUCACAGUUUCACUUUCAGUUUGUGCACAUCCUCGUUAUGUUGUCAUACCUGUUGUCUGCUGGGCCACGUUAGAGCCUGCCACGUGGACACAGCCUCUCACUUCCUGUUACAUUUGUAACGGAAAUGUGAAAAACUGGUUUGAAAACCUUCCAAAAAUUAUUUUAAUGAACCAACACAGAAACGUAAUCAUUCGAAGCAUCAGUAAAACUCACGUUUUUAAACAGAGAACUGUGUUUUACAUAUUAAACAAACAAACAAAAAAAAGAACCAUAAAGUAAUUAAUAAAUAAUAAGAAAUAAAAAAAACUAGUCAUUACCUGAUUGUGCUGUAGCACCUGUAGCGCCGCAUGCUGGGUCAGAUCAGGUGAUCAGGUGAAAACAGGUGAUGUUGCUCGGCGGCUGCGGCUUUCUGACAGUCGAGCUCCAAACGUGUCAAUACAAACAAAAUGAGAAAAUGUUAUAAAAAUAAAAUAAAACACACCGUUUUAACAGCUUUUGUGUUACAUUUACUCCCCUCAGUACAAUCUCAUUCACACUGACGACACAGAAAUGUCUGCUGGUCUGGUUUACGAACCCAGCGCCGAGGCUAACGUCAUAACGCUAACGUUCACAUUUCCACCAUUUGGUGGUUUUCUCAUGUUAGUAAAACCUGAACUUAGAAGUUACAAAAAUAAAUACUGUUGUGCUUAAAAGAUCAUGAAUAGUUUAAAUUUUCAUAGACACACUUUGUAAUGAUUUUGCAGCACCUGUCCAGUGUCUGCUGGGCCUACCUACGAACACGGCGCGGUGGCUAGCUGAGCGAAGCAGUCCAAGCUUUCACCAACUCUUCCAACUUUCCUGAUAUUUGCAACAAAAAACAAAAACAAAACACAAAAAAUCAAAUGUAGUUUUGUAAACUGUAGUUAACGCAUCCUGUUACCAUUUCAUCCAAAUGAAAUGACAAAGAAAACCUGGAGCUGCGAGCCGAACUCUGGAGAUUCUCUUUGAUUUGUUGAUGAAAUCAGUAUCUCAUGUUUUUAGGUCAGUUUAGUGAGACUGUGCACACACAGCCUGACUUUACUGUAGUUCUGUGAUCUGUUCAGUAAAAAACUACAAAACUUUAAUUAAAUUUUUUUACUUUUAAAUAAUCAUUUGAAAAAAAAUCUCAAUAUAAACACUGAGUUUCUACAGAGACGAUCACACUGACGCUGCCACACCCUGCUCGCUGCCAGCUGGGCCAGACUGCAAACUAAACCAGCAGGUUAUUUUACACUUUUAACCUUCAGGAGAUCAAGUCAGCAAAACCUGAAAGACGUUAAAAAUGUUUAAAACACAAAAGUGCUGUUGUAAAUAUAAAAACUCGGAAUACUUCCACUUUUGUGGGCGGGUUAGAUCAGAUCAGCAGUACUCCUGUGGCAGCACAGUCUGCUGGGCCAGUUAAUGAGCUAAUGAGAGCUAGCUUUAUGCUAAAUUAAAACCUUUAUCAGUUAAUUGAUCCAUGUGAUCAGACGUGUUGGAGUAAUGUUUGUAGUUUGGGUCUGCUGCUCUGAUGCUUUCUGUGAUUCAAAUAUCCAUUUGAUGUUUCUGGAAACCACUGUGGCUGCAGACUGGUUUAAUCCCGCUCCCUUCCUGAAACUACAAAAUCCUCCUUGACCAGAUAGACUCCGCCCCCACCGCUCAUUGGCUCUGGCACUGCCUGACAUAUGAUCCUGCCCCGAGUCUUUUUUAGAGGGCUUGUGCCGCAGAGGCCGUGCUGGAGCAAAUCCUCUUAUAUAAAACAGCACAGCCAGCUGAGCAGCCCACCAAUGGCUGCGUCGUAUCUGUAAUAUGAAUUGCACAAUUAUCCGCCCGUCCAUGUUUCAUGUUUGGGGAUUAUAUCGUGGCCACUGCUGCGUAUUAGGAGGAUGUAUUGUGUAUUUGCUGAUGUCUUUUUGUCUGUGGGGAAGGUUACGUAAGCUUCAGGUUGUCAACAGGCUCUGACUUCAUUACGUUCUUACAUACGCUCAUCAUGAGCCACAGCACAGAGGAAACGAACAGAAGCCCAAAGUCAUGGUGCUGAGGUCAACCAGCUCCACUUCACUCCAGAUACACAAAUAUCUAAAAACACAUCAAAGGUCGCAAGUUAAGGUUUCACCAGAGUGUCAGAAACACUUUAAAUGGUUCAAAAUGUAUCUGAAGUGAACUGCUUUGUUUUAGUUUGGCCCAUUUUCCCUGGUAUUUUCUGAUAAUGCACGUUCCCAUAUCGUAUAACAUGCAGCCAUUGCAUUGCACUUACCUUUCUAAGGCAACCCCACAUUUAGGUUUUCUGCUGAUCUGCAGACACAUGUUACUGCAGCUGCUGAUUAAAGAGGUACUUCAGACCAUAAGCACAAAGCCUUGUAUUAACGAUCUGUUAUUCCUUUCUGUGAUGAAAACAUUACAGUUUAGAUACUCCUGGAUUUUGUGGUUCAUGCUGUAUGUUCAGACAAAUACGAGCUGUAAUGUUUUUAAGGAAAUCACACUAAUGAUGUCACGGUUUUCUUUUCAAGUCUGUCACUGUGUAAUGGAAAUUUCUACUUGAUCCCAAUGUACAGAAACAUGAAAAUCUAUGAAUAAACGAGUGGAAACUAAA